rnacentral:rRNA from 1 species
UACGUAGGGUGCGAGCGUUGUCCGGAAUUAUUGGGCGUAAAGGGCUCGUAGGCGGUUUGUCGCGUCGGGAGUGAAAACCAUGAGCUUAACUCAUGGCUUGCUUUCGAUACGGGCAGACUAGAGGUAUGCAGGGGAGAACGGAAUUCCUGGUGUAGCGGUGAAAUGCGCAGAUAUCAGGAGGAACACCGGUGGCGAAGGCGGUUCUCUGGGCAUUGCCUGACGCUGAGGAGCGAAAGUGUGGGGAGCGAACAGG